UUCUAGUCCUCCAGGAUGUACGCUACGGGCAAAGAGCGAUCCGGCCAGGAGAUUUCUUCACAGGAUUAUACGAUGCAGCAGCAACAGCAGCGUACUGCGUCCAAGUCUGAGUACCCACCUGCGGAAUCUGCAGAUCGUCUUAGCCAGCAGUUAAGAUCUCAACCAGCUCAGGAGUAUGUAUCGUAUAACACAAACGAAUCAUCUGUGGCUGGAAACAAACAAGAGCCCAGAAAUCAGGAUAGUGCCUCCUAUAGUUUAGAGGUUGUGACCCCAGAUCGCUCUAGGCAGCAGAUACGAUCCCAGCAGAAUCCGGAGUAUCUUGGACCUUCUUACGAGGCAGCUAGAGAGCCACUGAGAUCCCAGCCAGCGGCAGAUUAUCCAGCCAACACCUCUUUAUAUGAGAGACAGUCACGUCCUCCGCCGGCAACCACAAUUGACUACACCACCGGCUACAAUGCACCACCCAAAGAUCGCACCCUUUCACGCAGCAAUUCUAGACCCACCAUCGCACCCAAUCCAAAUUCCAAUACCAAUCCCAAGCUCCAAAAUAUACCCAAUCCCGAGUAUGUGCGACCACCACCACAGAACUUUGUCUUGCCACCGCAGAUGCGUCCGGCUGUGGGUCCGCCCCAGCCGCGUCCUCCAUUCGCCGGAGCCAGGCCUAUGGUGGGCAUGGUCGGUGGACCACGUCCGCCCAUGCCACCCAACAUGGCGGCCAGGCCACCACCGCUGCGCACCACAGACAGCAAGAGCAACUUGCUCAUGGGUCCAGGUCCACCGGGAAUGCGACCGGGAAUGCCACCGCAACUGAACAUGCAGCAGGCUCGUCUGCCCAUUGCCGGAGGACCAUUGAGUCCACCGGGAGGACAGGGACCUCCAAGGCCACCGGGUGGAUUUCCCUGGAAUCCGGCUGGGGCACCGGGAAUGCCGCCAGGAGCACGACCUCCACCGCAGAAUAUGACGCGACCGCCGCCACCCACUUUUGCACGCCCGCCGCCGGGUCAACCCCUUCAGGCACCGCCCUUCAAUCGACCGCCCUUCAACCAGCCGCCCAUGCAACAGCAACCACUGCAGCAGCAGCAACAGCAACACAUGCAACAGCAACAGCAGCAGCAACAACCACCGCAACAACUACGCCCUCUUUCGGCAGCCAGUGCACACAACAACAACGAUGACGACGACGAUGUGGUCAUGGGUCCCGCGGUGACCCCGCUCAAGACCUUCAACCAGAGGCCCGAUCCCAUGGGCGAACCUCUGCUGGAAGACGUUGAACCCCCCUUCGAGACGAGCCCGCCAGCGGGAGAAUCCAAAAAGGGGCACGGCUUUAAGGGUGACAAUGACAGCGGCGUGGAUGAGUCGACUCAGGAGAAGGAUCGCAACGGACCCAUCUCGCCCAGUUCACCGGUCAAGACGCCCACCUCGACCUCAUCGAAGCCGGACAAGUCGGGCACGUCGCGCCCACCGAGUGCCACGCCCUCGAACAAAUCAGCCCCCAAGUCGCGCAGCGCCUCCAAGAAUCGCUUGCUCCUCAAGACACCAGAACCCGAGCCACCCAAGAAAGUUCCAAUGAACAAGGUACAGGUUGGACAUGCGCCUUCGCCAAACCUGAAGGCGGUACGUUCCAAAAUCGGUUCCCUGGACAAUGCCACCUAUAAGCCGGGUGGUGGUCACGUGAAGAUCGAGUCCAAGAAGAUUGACAUCAAGGCGGCACCACGUAUCGAGGCCAAGAACGACAAGUACAUGCCAAAGGGCGGCGAGAAGAAGAUAGUUACAACAAAGUUGCAGUGGAAUGCCAAGUCGAAAAUCGGUUCGCUUGAGAAUGCCGCCCACAAGCCAGGAGGCGGGGACAAGAAGAUCGAGACCCUGAAGAUGGACUUCAAGGACAAGGCCAAGCCGAAGGUGGGCUCUACGUCCAAUGUGAAACAUCAGCCGGGUGGCGGUGAUAUCAAGGAUAACAACCCCAAGGAUAUCCAAACGCAAAAACUAGAAAUUAAGGCACAAAGCAAAGUUGGCUCUUUGGAUAAUGUAAAGCACAAGCCCGGUGGCGGUGAGAAGAAGAUAUUCGAUGAUAAGGAUUAUUUGAAAAAUGUUGAACACUCUGUUGCACUGACAACACCACCAACACAGGAAUAUAUAUACAAUUUUUAUUAGGCUAGUCAUACGAAACUAAGUGCAUUAAAUUCGAAAUUCGUACACACGUUACGUCCAUUAGACUUAUUUAUCGCCUAAUACUAUAACUACUACGUCAUAUACUCGAAAUCUGAAUGCGAUGCGGUUUUAACCAAUGUAUAGAAAAAUUCGAUCCGAACCGAUUGAUUCGAUUUGAUCAAGCAAAUCCCAGUCCACUACCAUCCAUGACGGCUUCUGGCGCUGAUGAAAAUUUAAAUCAACAAAGCUAAAUGCCCGAAAAAUGCAUGUCGAGCUGAAAAUCUGAAUCUUUCUUUGCAAUCUAAGAUCGAAAGUGAAAAAUGAACAUUGAACAACCAGCUAAUUUGAAAAGUACUAUCUAAGCAAAACCCACACAAGGCAAAGCGAGAGUUAUGCGCGUAUUUCCACACACCCCACAUACCAGUACCAGUACCAGUUUAUAAGAUCAGAACAAUUCGAUAGAGGUGCAAGCACGCAAUGAGAUGCAGAUACUCGUACAUCUACACCACAAACACCCCACAUAGAGCGGUAUUUGGUAUACAAAAAACGAAAGUAUAUUUGACUAGUUGAGCAUUGCACUCUUUAUCAUCAGAUACCAGACAUAAAUUAUAUAUCUCAAUGUAUUACCAGAACUUCAUAUAUACAUACAAAUAUAUAUAUACAUAAAAGUAUCUAAAUAUUUAAGCAAAUUAUACAAGAAUCGUACGAAUACACUGUGUGCUUAGUUGAAAAUGUUACCACUUGACGUCUAAAUGUUAAACGACUAAGAUAAUGCGACCCAUUGAUUUGUAAACAGUUUAGAUACUUUUUCGACAAAUAAAAAUGAGAAACCAAACAGAACAGAACCGAACCGAACGAACAGAUAAUACCACGUAUAAGCAUAUUUUUACUAUUAAUUUGUAUCUUAUUAGUCAAGCGCAUCAUUCUCACGAUUUAUUUACACCCUGUUACAAAAUGUAAGAACAAUGGCAAAAUUUAAGCAUAAUAAACAAACAAAAAAAACGUUUUUUCAUUUACCAAA